GACUCCUUGUUUUUUCUAGGUAACUUAGUUUUACCGAGUACACCAGGACAAAAAUGUCUCAUUGUUAUUCUGGUGUACAGCUUUGUUCUUGGAAGUUCCUUCUUAGGAAGUGUUGAUUCCCACUGUGUAAUUUCAGAUGGACUGAGGCAAGAGCUAGGGAGUCUGUAAGGCCGGGGAGAAGGAAGUUUUAGUGAUCUAUACAGGAGGUGAGCAGGGGUUGGAUGACUAUAGUCUUAGAUAGUCUGUAAUGGCAGUCAGACAGGUCAGUGAUUGCCUGUCAGAAUAGCUGGAACCUAUUGCACUAUUUGUGGUGCACACCUGUCAACAUUUUCCGGCUUCCCCCAGAGUUAAUCUUGAAGGAUCUUCUCCAGGUUCCCCACCAGGACUUGGCAGCUCUUCCAGCACUAAUCAUCUUGCUCUGAGGGUGGCUAUUGGUCUUUUGGAGUCUUGCUGCAAUUAACUAGCUGAGUACAAAUGCUUGCCACAAAAAUCUGAAGCUGAAAUCACUUGAGGCCCUCUGUACCACUUAAAUCCCAUAUUGGGGAUAGAGGGAGAGGCUCCAGUAGAAUGAAUUCAUAGAGGAUGCCUUCUGUGUGUUGUAGGAGUUAUUGCAUAGCUUUCUAGUGUGUAUGGGGGGAACACAGCAAGAGGAAUAUGUUGGCAGACCAUCACUCCUAUCACAUGGAUCCAGUGGCCCUAAUAUCCUGCGCACGUGAAUACAUCAGAGCUAAUUUUGAUUCUAUUAGGAGGCUAGUUACAGGCUGCUGAGCUGAGUUCACUUUGGGCUAAUGGUGUACCAGCACUAAGACUCCCCUACUACAAGCUGAAAUCACAAAAGAGCUAAACUUACUAAGAACUGAAGUCACUGGGUGUUGUACUAAGUGAUGGGGGAGCUUGAAGACAUAUUGCGGAGCAGUUUGCGGGAUGGCUAGCGAAGCAGAGCGGCCGGUGGAGCGGAGCAGAGCAGUUUGCGGGACGGCUAGCGGAGCAGAGCGGCUGGUGGAGCAGAGCAGUUUGCGGGACAGUUGGCAGAGCAGAGUGGCUGGUGGGGCAGAGCAAUUUGUUUGAUGCCUGGAGCAGCUCAUGGGGGCGGCUGGCAGAGCAGGGCCCUGUGGAUAGGUGGGGCAAUCAGCUUUGGACCAUGUAAGGUGCCCCUUAAGCCCCCCCCCAUCUCCCCCAGGUUGGGAGGUAAAACUAUGCAGAUAAACUUUUGAACUCUGGGGCUGCCCUGACCAGGGACAGAGACUUUUGGGUUGUUGGACUUUUGGGACUUUGGGUGGUUUUGGGUUGCUGGACUCAAGAACCAAAGGGAAAGGGCAUGCCCCAAUUUGCUUGGGGUGGGUUUUUUGCUCAUGGGUUGUGUUAUGAGUCCUGUUGGUGGUGUUUCCCCAAGAUAAUGCCACAUUGUUUCUCUCUGUUAUUAAAAGGCUUUUUGCUACACUCAGGCUCUGUGCUUGCGAGAAGGGAAAUAUCGCCUCUUGGAGGCGCCCAGCGGGGGUGGUAUAUAUUUGUCCCAGGUCACUGGGUGGGGGCUUGAGCCAGUUUGCAUUGUGUUAUGGGGAUGGAUCCCCUAGAUAUUGAACCCGGCCCUUGUUGCUGCCAACUCCGAUGGGCAGAAGGGUUACACAAAUAUUAAUACUGGUAUUUCCCCCACAGUUUAGUAAAGCAUGUACAGCUCUUCUCAUGAACACUUACAUGGAAAAUCUGAAUUUCUGACAUCAGACUCUUUUAGCUAUUUCUAUGAAAAGCAAGUGGUGUUUAAUAAACACAAAAACAAGAAUGGGGAAUAAUUAUGUUCACUCAAGAGGAGCUGAAAGGAUUUUGCUAAAAUUUUCCAGACAUUCUCCCAGCAGAGACCAAGUGCAGAAAAAAUUCAGCUCAAAUGAUGCAAGAUUUAGAAAGUUCAGAUGACAUGAAAGCUGUUUUGCAAUCUUUAAUAUGACUUCUAUAAUUAUAAUUACAUCUUUUGCUUUAGAUGAAAGAGAUGGUACAAGCUGAUUAGAAAUUGGGUUACAGUCUUCUCACAAUAGUGCAACAAUCCGCCAUUCCUUUUGGAAGACAAGCCCAGUACUGAAUUGUCACAAUGUGAAAGAUAUUUUUGCAGAUCAGUGUCCAGUUUCCAUAUUGUUGCAAAAGCAGAAGAGGGUAGUGGAAUGAUGCUGUUAUAUCAACUCAUUGCAUGUCAUAUAUUUGUAAGCAGUGUCAUAAUGAGCUCCACCCUGACAUCUGGUGGUGAGGUGUGGCAAGUUGUGGAAAAGAACUUCAGGGGCUGAUCUCAUUUGCAUAGGCACACCCACCCUGCCAAGAAUGAGGCCAUAGCUGCCCAAAUGGUCACUUUGGCAGCUGUGGGAUCCCCAGUGUCUCUGUUAUUGGGGCAGGAAGAAUAAAUUUUUAUUACCCUGAUUAUGGGAACUGUGCUGGGAACUGUACUUGGUCUUUUGUUACGAUGGAGGGAUUCACCAUCAACUAAGUAGCACUCGCUAGGCAAGGGUCAUGGGUUCCAAAACUCUGUGAAUUGAGAGAGGCUGGGGACAAGUAUUAAUACUUGAUGGUAUGGGCCCCUUGGUGAGGGCCUUAUGUGCUAAUUGCACUUCCUCCUUUCUCCACUGUGGAAUAUCAGAGCUAACUUUGAUUCCAUAAGAGUGUAGUUACAGGCUGCUGAGCUCACUUUGGGCUAAUGGUGUACUAGCACUGAGGCUCCCCUACUAUAAGCUGAACUCACCAAAGAGCUGAAUUGACUAAGAGCUGAAAUCACUGAGCAUUGUGUUAAGUAGUGGGGGAGCCUGAAGAGAUAUUGUGGAGCAGUUUGCUGGACGGCUGGAGUGCCUUGUGGACAGGCUGGUGGAGCAGUUUGUGGGACAGCGGGAGCUGCUUGUGGGACGUGGAGCGGAGCAGUUCGUGGACUGGCUGGUGGAGCAGUUUAUGGGACGGUAGGAGCCACUGGUGGGGAGCGGAGCCAAGCGAAGCAGUUCGUGGGGCGGCUGGCGGACGGAGUGAAGGCCUAUGGAGCUGUGGGGUGGUCAGCUUCAGAUCAUGUAAGGUGCCCCUUACCUCUCUUCCGCCCCCCCCCCCCCCCCCAUCUCCACCCAGGUUGGGAGGUAAAGCUCUGCAGAUAAACUUUCGAACUCUGGGGCUCCCCUGACCAGGGAAAGAGACUUUUGGGUCAUUGGACUUUUGGGACUUUGGGGUUGCUGGACUCAAGAACCAAAGGGAAAGAGCAUGCCCCAAUUUGCUUGGGGUGGGUUUUUGCUCAUGGGUUGUGUUACGAAUCCUGUUGGUGGUGUUUCCCCAACAUAAUGCCACAUUGUUUCUCUCUGUUAUUAAAAGGCUUUUGCUACA